rnacentral:piRNA from 1 species
UAAAGUUCAGUGGACGUCUGUCAUUGGU